rnacentral:rRNA from 1 species
AUUGAACGCUGUCGGCAGGCCUAACACAUGCAAGUCGAACGAGUGGCGGACGGGUGAGUAGUGUCUGGGAAACUGCCUGAUGGAGGGGGAUAACUACUGGAAACGGUAGCUAAUACCGCAUACCAUCAGAUGUGCCCAGAUGGGAUUAGCUAGGUGGUGGGGUAACGGCUCACAAAGGCGACGAUCCCUAGCUGGUUUGAGAGGAGGACCAGCCACACUGGAACUGUGACACGGCCCAGACUCCUACGGGAGGCAGAAGUGGGGAACAUUGUACAAUGGGCGAAAGCCUGAUGCAGCGAUGCCGCGUGUAUGAAGAAGGCUGUCGGGUUGUAAAGUACUUUCAGCGGGGAGGCGUUACCCGCAGAAGAAGCACCGGCUAACUCCGUGCCAGCAGCCGCGGUAAUAC